rnacentral:rRNA from 1 species
UGGGGAAUAUUGGACAAUGGGCGCAAGCCUGAUCCAGCCAUGCCGCGUGAGUGAUGAAGGCCCUAGGGUUGUAAAGCUCUUUCACCGGUGAAGAUAAUGACGGUAACCGGAGAAGAAGCCCCGGCUAACUUCGUGCCAGCAGCCGCGGUAAUACGAAGGGGGCUAGCGUUGUUCGGAUUUACUGGGCGUAAAGCGCACGUAGGCGGACUAUUAAGUCAGGGGUGAAAUCCCGGGGCUCAACCCCGGAACUGCCUUUGAUACUGGUAGUCUUGAGUUCGAGAGAGGUGAGUGGAAUUCCGGGUGUAGAAGUGAAAUUCGUAGAUAUUCGGAGGAACACCAGUGGCGAAGGCGGCUCACUGGCUCGAUACUGACGCUGAGGUGCGAAAGCGUGGGGAGCAAACAGG